CCGGAAGCAGGUGACGUUCGACGGAACCAGCCGGUUAGACUCCAGGAAUCAAGUCUUUCCGGAUGUCCCCGGUUCGCCGGGGGCCUUCAGUCAGCAGCCGCUGCAACCCCAGGGAG
rnacentral:ncRNA from 1 species